UGAUGUCUAGCAUGCGAGUCAUUGUAGCAGUACAAGGCAGACGGCUCAGUAACGCGUAGUCAAUCUACCCUAUGGACGGGAAUAACCUCGGGAAACUGAGAAUAAUGCCCGAUAGAACAUUAUACCUGGAACGGUUUAUGUUUCAAAUGAUUUAUCGCCAUAGGAUGGGACUGCGGCCUAUCAGUUUGUUGGUGAGGUAAUGGCCCACCAAGACUAUUACAGGUACGGGCUCUGAGAGGAGUAGCCCGGAGAUGGGUACUGAGACACGGACCCAGGUCCUAUGGGGCGCAGCAGGCGAGAAAACUUUGCAAUGUGCGAAAGCACGACAAGGUUAAUCCGAGUGGUUUCUGCUAAAGAAACCUUUUGUCAGUCCUAGAAACACUAACGAAUAAGGGGUGGGCAAGUUCUGGUGUCAGCCGCCGCGGUAAAACCAGCACCUCAAGUGGUCAGGAUGAUUAUUGGGCCUAAAGCAUCCGUAGCCCGUUUUGUAAGUUUUCGGUUAAAUCCAUGCGCUUAACGUAUGGGCUGCCGGGAAUACUGCAUAACUAGGAAGUGGGAGAGGUAGACGGUACUCGGGAGGAAGGGGUAAAAUCCUUUGAUCUCUUGAUGACCACCUGUGGCGAAGGCGGUCUACCAGAACACGUUCGACGGUGAGGGAUGAAGCUGGGGGAGCAACCGGGAUUAGAUACCCGGGUAGUCCCAGCUGUAACUAUGCAACUCAGUUGAUGCAUGCUGUGCCCAUGCAGUGCUGCAAGGAAAGCCGGU
rnacentral:rRNA from 1 species